rnacentral:rRNA from 1 species
GACGAACGCUGGCGGCGCGCUUAACACAUGCAAGUCGAGCGAGAACCUGGGCUUCGGCCCUGGGGACAGCGGCGAACGGGUGAGUAACACGUGGGUAAUCUGCCCUUGACAUCGGGAUAGCCCGGGGAAACCCGGAUUAAUACCGAAUAGCCUCCGGAGCCCUCGGGCGCCGGAGAAAAGGUAGCUUCGGCCUCUGGUCAAGGAUGAGCCCGCGGCGGAUUAGCUUGUUGGCGGGGUAACGGCCCACCAAGGCGACGAUCCGUAGCUGGUCUGAGAGGACGAUCAGCCACACUGGGACAGAGACACGGCCCAGACUCCUACGGGAGGCAGCAGUGGGGAAUCUUGCGCAAAUGCGGGAAACCGUGACGCAGCGACGCCGCGUGGGGGAAGAAGGCCUUCGGGUUGUAAACCGCUUUCAGGAGGGACGAAGCCACUCGGGUUAAUAGCCCAGAGGGUGACGGUACCUCCAGAAGAAGCCCCGGCUAACUACGUGCCAGCAGCCGCCGUAACAC